GGCACAGUUAAAUGACACAGGACACACAUCCAGUUUAAAAUCAAGUUUUAUAUGAUUCAGAGAAAAGUUACAUUAUACAUACUCAUUUAAAUAAUAUCAAAGUCUGUUACAUAAAACAUAAUUAUGAAACAUUUUAAGUCUUAUCAUUCAAACUACUUAAAAGGCUCAAAGUCACAAAAGAUCAAGCAAAACUGCCCAGGCAAUAAAGUGCACGAGGGGAGCCCACCUCUCCAGCGGCCAUCAGCACCCAGAGCCGCCAGCUGAGGGCUCCAUGCCGAAUCCAUACACAAGGUUUGUGGUUCUCAGAAGAGUUUUCAGACAGGAACUGUUUCCAACUUAAAAUCUUUCAACAGACAAAUGGAGGUGGAAGGGGAAUGGUUUACACAAAGUAUUUCCAAAUGUAAUCAAGAAAUGGAAGUGUAAAUUAAAACCAUUUCCAACAUG
rnacentral:antisense_RNA from 1 species